UGGGGAAUAUUGGACAAUGGGGGCAACCCUGAUCCAGCCAUGCCGCGUGUGUGAAGAAGGCCUUCGGGUUGUAAAGCACUUUCAGUGGUGAGGAAAGGGUAAUCGUUAAUAGCGGUUACAGUUGACGUUAGCCACAGAAGAAGCACCGGCUAACUCCGUGCCAGCAGCCGCGGUAAUACGGAGGGUGCAAGCGUUAAUCGGAAUUACUGGGCGUAAAGCGUACGUAGGCGGUGUGUUAAGCAAGAUGUGAAAGCCCCGGGCUCAACCUGGGAAUGGCAUUUUGAACUGGCACGCUAGAGUCCUGAAGAGGGUGGUAGAAUUUCCAGUGUAGCGGUGAAAUGCGUAGAUAUUGGAAGGAAUACCGGUGGCGAAGGCGGCCACCUGGUCAGAGACUGACGCUGAGGUACGAAAGCGUGGGGAGCAAACAGGAUUAGAUACCCCGGGUAGUC
rnacentral:rRNA from 1 species